AGAAUAGCGUCGAUGUCUGCUGGAUAUUAUACGGAAUUGGUAUCGAUCGAGUAUUCAUUGCAAAAGUUUCGGUAUCAAGAAUUAAUAAGGAAGUAUAGCUCAACAAGUUUAAUAGGGUCCCUAAAGGAGUGGUCUGAGCGUCGUGGGUCGAGUGAAGGGAAUGGGAACGAACUACCUCGGUUCUACCUCGGUUGAGCAGAAGAUUCCCUAGAGAUAUUUCACAUUGGCAGAGUUCCAAGCGAUUCUCGUAAAAAUAUUCCACGUUCUAUUAGUUUUAACGAGUAUGCAUUUUAAAUAAGAACCACAGACACUCCAUAUGAAAUUCUUCUUAAUCACUUCACGUCCUCGUGGUCCAUCGCUUCGUUCUUGAUGCAUAUGGGUAUCACAGAAUUUGUAUCGUUAAUACAGUAUACUAACUGUUCGUUAUUUGUAUGGAUUAUUAGUAUUAUUUAUAGGAGAAAAGUAAUGGUGCUUGAGAAAGAUGUUGUACAUAAAUGGUCAUGAUACGUGAAUGUAUAUGAUAAAUGCUUAUAGAUAUACGUGCAUGUACUAUAUGUAUGUGUAAAUAUACGCAGAUAAUCUAUGUACUAAACUGUAUUUAUAUGUACAUAUACGUACUUGUUACAGAUACUUAUUUAUAUGGAUAUAUUCAUAACGAAUGUCUUAAUAUCAAUAAUAUCGAAUUGGCAUUAAUGGUGUAAUAGAUCAAUGGGAAACAAAGUCUGAUUAGUAGUAAGCAAUCGUAUAGCAAAGGUAACCAACCUAACCAACAUAACAUAAAUAGAACGAGAAGCUUUUCUCGAAGCCAGGAUAAAGAGAAUAUAAAAAAAAUCUCGAUGUAGGUAAGACGAGGUCAACUUGUUGAGCUAUACCUAAAUAUUUUGCUACCUUUCGACGCGUUUCCUGUGAAGUACUCGAGUGUCGAAUUGCUUGGACAUCAGUUGUAAGUAAUCGUAUCAGUCCCAUCGCUACCAAUGCGUCUCCUCUGCCUCGUUCUCUUUCUCCUCAUUCCUUUUGGUCUUCGGUUCCAAACUCUUUCUCCCAUUCGUUUCCUUCGACCCCGUAUCCUUUGGCACGGCAGGGUGAGUUCGGGAACCGUCAUUGAGCACUUCGUCGAUCAGACCGGCGACCAGGUGGGCCAGGCCCGAGGCGAGCUGAUCAAGGCUGAGGAGUAUCGGAGCGAAGCUCGUGAAGAAAUUGUACUUCAUCAUAAUCUGCGUCUUAAUAUUGGCCGUGAUAUUAAUCUCCAUCAUAAUAGCUUGCGUUCCAACUGGUAGCUAAAGAGCCGUGCAUUACGUAUGAAAGAAGUGGGGGAAUGUUCAUCUUUUCGUGGGACACGUGGUAGAAAAAACGUUUGCGACCGACUCGUUGAGGGAAAGGGAUAGAAUUACGAUAGAAACAGAGACGGGCAAAAUUUUUACCCAUACGAUAAUCUCGUAUAACGAAUAAAAAAAAAAAAUAAAGGAACAAUCUUUUAUUCGUUACUCGUCGAUUAGAGGCUAGAAUCUAUAUUAUAGAACGAGAUAUUUCACAAUGAACGAAUGAAAGUUUCACUGUUCGUUCGAAUAAACGUCACGAAUAAAUCGCUACUCGUUGGUUUCAUUCGUCGCCUGUUAUUCGAAGAAAAUUUUGCCGAUCUCUGGAUAAAAGGAAGGGAGGAGGAUAGUUCGAAGCGGAAAGAAGAGUUAGACGCGUCUUGGUACUGUACGAAGAGAAAAAGAUCAGUCCUGUAGAGUAACAGAGAUGGGCAAACUUCUCGCCCAGAUAACACGUCUGAAUAACAAAUAGAAGGUAAGCUACCUUGUAUCCUUUACUGACUGGAUAGAAAAUAGAAUUUGAAAUAUAUAAUAAAUGUUGCUGUACGUUGUCUGUCGUCUAAAUAAAAUGUUGCCAAUCUCCGGUGAGUAGGAUGCAGGAGGAUAAAGAUCCUCGAGUAAUGCUUAGUUGCAGGUCUCUCGAAGACUGAUUGUAAAGUUUAGGCCAAUUUUAGAAGGAAUUCCUUCCAGGACUGAUCUUUCCUUCUCCCCGCAAUACAUCUAUUAGCAGGAAAUACUCGACCACGCAUCCACUUCAGCAUAGUCAACCAGCUAGCAGCACCGGUUUUCGCUAUCCUCCUCUCGGGCACCAGUUUUUCUCGACUUCUAACCUCUAUCUCCGAAGCAACUUGUUCGUUAACACAAUAACUCAUUAAUAGAAACUAAUUUGUUCUACUAACGCGGCCAGUUUGCACGUCGAAUGCACCAGGCGUACAUUGGUUCAUCUUGUGUGACUAUUGACCAGACUCUUGUGUGACUACCGACCGACCAGUCGUGUCGUUUCUCUCGUUAGCUCGUUAGUUAAGCUCGAGACGAGUAAAAUUAUUUUCUGGAUAAACAAUAAACGCAGAAAGGUAGCAUUCAAAUUUUUUCAUUUGUUAUUUGAAAAGACUGCGAUGCUAGAGUACUCCGCAGUAUCGACUGAAUAGUUUUGAAGGAGGUCGGUAAGAUGGAGUACUCUGUCGGUCAUGUAGCGGAGAUUUCUUUACAUUACCGACAGAGCACUUUAUCGAUUGGAGAGCUCUUUCGUAGUAUUCUGUCGGUAAACGUCACGCUUGACGAACGCUACAAAUGCAUAGAACCCGCAUUCACAGGUCCAGCAAAUAAUUUAAUCGACACGGGUAGAAGAUGAUGAAUUCAAAGAAAAUUCUGUCCAUCUCCGAUGGCCAACGCGUAGUCUCGAAAAUCAAGACAGACGAGAGCAAAGACCGCGGUCGAUUCGCCAAGUACCUUGCCGAUCACGAUCUUUCAACUUGUGUUACCAGUGCCAGCGCUGGCAAUGGUUCUGGUACCGGUGUGAGUGGUUCGUACAAACUUCGAUGGGUAACAUCCAACCAUGCCAACGAGAACAUCAUGGUCUACCACGAAGUUCGAGUCUCUUUCUACGAGAUCCUUUUACUUGGUCGCAGCCACGCACGUGUACCAAUUCCAGAGCGCGAGAUCGCGCGUUCCUCCGAGUGAUCGCAAUAUUGUACUUUGUUCGCAGAAAUUGAUGUUCAUCGUAAUUUGCCUGACACUAGUGUUCAUCAUUUUCAUAAUCAUUCUGGUGUACGCGUUGUAAGAAGAUCGAGGGUCGAAUACGAGAGCAUUUCAGGGAAUAGUGCACGAGAGGCGAUCACGAGAGACGAGCCAAGGAAUACGUGAACACGGGUUUUCCCUCGCGAACAAACUCCGUGGACGGAUUUUCUGCGAUCGUAUUCGAUCGAUCCCGAGUAGCGCCAAAGAAUAGAAGACAAACGAGUUGUGGAGGACGGUGACGGAGGAGUUAAAUGAAGAAAGGUGGAAGUACAUGACGAGAAAGGAGUGUCUAGUUCCGCACGGGGAAUACCCGUCCCAAUCGAGUUCCGUUUUUAUCGACAAACUGCAUCACUGUCUCCGUUGAUCGUUGACCCGGCACGUGCUCGAGCGACUUUUCGCUGUCCUUUGUUUUCAUAUCCGUUUCCAAGUUCUUAACAUGGAAUUACCGCGAGAAUUUAUAAUACGUUCGCACACGAGUACCCGCGUCGAAAGAGUGUAUACGUAACUGUGGUGUUAGAGCUGCUCGAGAUCUCUCGACUAGACGUAUUGGAAAAUUCCUAACGAUCUGGACGAGACACAGACUCGUAUGAUUUGUACAGAGGGAUUCUUAACACGUUGCCAACCGAUCGGGGAAAUUCUCCAGUUUUCGUCGUGCUGCAUUGCGCGCUUAUAGGCAUACAGAAUAAGCGUGUGUACGCCAACUGCAGGCGAUCUAAAAUUAAAGAUAAUAUUGACACGGAAGUAGAUAUGGAUCUCGAGCAGCUUUACGCAGGUAUAUUACCAUAGUCGACUCGAAGGGCGACCGGCAUACACGAAUCAAUACGAAACCGAUGUGUCGCCAUGAUUCCGAGUAAUUGCCUCGCGAUGCCCGAAGCGUAUAUUUGUUGUAUUUCCGUCGCGAGCGAUCGCAAUCUCGCUCGUCGGCGUGUAUUAUGUAAAUAAUUGCAUUUGUAUAGAACAGGUAAUAAUAUUUAAAAUUACGAACGGUCAUGUUGCGAACCGUUUUGAUUCCUUGUUGAGAGCGCAGUUUAGAGUGAUAGAGUAAACGACUCGAGGAGUCGAUUGGCUGUCGCGAACGUUCCGUUCGAAUCGGUUAAUGGUACGAUGAAUCGAUGAUCCAACGAUUCGAAGAUAUGGACAGAGAUUGGCAGGCGCGCGCGCACACACGCAGAGAGGCACUAGCUGCGAUUCGAGAAGGACCGAAAAAAGGUACGCGAAGGGAAGAUGAACGCGUACGCAAACGACGCAACGUGGCUCGUAGCGUAGCAGACUGAUGAUAACCGUAGCGGAUAACCGCGAACGGUAGGACCGUACGCCAUCGCGUUACGUACUUCGUUUGUAAUCCAUAAUUGUAUUUUUGCCGAUCCGUUGAUGCCGAGUGCAGAAGAAGAUCAUGAUCAUGAUCUGCGUCGCUAUACUCGUCGUCAUUCUGGCCACCAGCGUCGCUGGAUACUUUGGACUGUGAACGCCGAAAUCAGAACAGUCCAAAAGCGUCGCCGUCGUGUACGCGAAUGCGAGCCGUCGGCAGCAACUGUAUCCAGGCAAGUCGGCCCGAAACGUAAGAAAUCUCGCCGUUUCAAAGUCGAACAAUCGCCGUCGUCGGCGUGGUCGACAUUGGCUGCAUCGACGAUCCGGUCGCAGCAGUCAUCCACGGUUACGGCUACGAUCUCGGCCGCGGCGUCGUCGACGAGCAUCCCGUCGACGCUCGACGUACCUCGUCCCGCCGAUCGUCGUUGAACUCGUCCUCCUGCUCCUCGCAUUCCGCCUACGCAAGCACCGGGGGAACACAGCCAGAACAACGAGACCAGCUCGGAGGACGAAGAAACGCCGUCGCCUGCUGCCGCUGUCGUUGUUUGCACGAUCGUCCUCUGUCGCUGUCGCUGUGCCGGCAUCGACGAGAUCGCUAUAAUCCCGGUUACGUUUCGUUCGGCUUCCAACGAACACCGUUUCACGGACAGUUUCGUUGGCCAGUCUCGUUCCGUUCCGCGAGCGUCGCCACCUUUUUCACCGAGACGUAAUAUCCCACCGUACAUCGUCGAUCCGAUUCGCGGUCUUGCUAUCCUUCGCGAUAUAUCUCUUAUCCUAGUUUACACCGUAUUUUUGAUACGCCCGAGGUAGCACGCGAUGACCGACAACACCGAAACUACUCCUACUGUAUCAAGCUGGUACCAAAUGUAAGGAUGGAGGACGUGUCAUAUGCCUGACAUCUAAAACACGCGUGGAAAUGUGUACAAGGAAAAUGCGUAUUAGUUUCUCGAAAGUUCUAAUUUACAGACAUAAGAAUUACUAACUCAAGUUUAGUUUAAUUCGUUUAGUUUAAUUAUACUACUUUUGUGGUAGAUGAUUGUUUAUCCCCAACUAAACAGAAGGAUUAGUCCGUCUUUUUCGUCACGUAAGGCCAUAACGAACUUAUAUCAAGGUUUUUUUACGGUAUUGUAUCAACUUGAUACACCGAGUGUUUGGUACGCAUCGAGUACUAAGUAAGUGUAUCGAAUGCACGGCGUAAACUAGGUAUAAUAAUUAUCUCGAAAUAUUAACACCCCUACCCCCCCCCCCCCCCCCUCCCUUUGCCCCAUUAUAAACAUUAGACAGAUUUCCACUUGUUUCCGGAUCAUCGAGAGAUUCCGCUAGAAGCGACGAAAACACGCGAGGAUGGGCAAACCGCGAUCGGAAAAACUCGUGUUUAUACGUCGCAAAGGGGAGGAGGAGGGGAGAGUGGUAUCACGCGUCCGCUGGUUGGAUCAGUCUAAGGCGUUAUUCCCUCGAGUGAACGACGCUGUUAUGUUCUCGGUCGAGAGAAUAACGCGAAAAGGUCGCACGAAACGAAUCCGAGUCCGCGAAUCACGCGUACCAGGGCUGUCCGGCCUACGAGAUGAAAAGAAACAGUAUUCGAAGCAACUGCCUGCGUCCCAUCGUGAAUAACAUAUAGCUGGCCAUCGAUAAUCGCGAACGUAACGUGUAUCAACGUAUCCCGUUCCUAGCCAAGUCUGAAACCCAAUGGAAUUUCUCUGUAACGCGGGGCUACCGAGCGAUUCUCUCGUUCGUCGCGUCGGAUCUAGCUCUGGUAGCUGCGUCAAACUCUGACUAACCCACCCAAGUGCAAUCUUUUCACUGUGAUUUUACAACGAGCUUGGAAAUCGGUUCUUCGCUGAUUCUCGUGCGCGCUUGAGAAAUAAUUGAUCGCUUUCAUCGACCUGCAGCUGGUUGGAAAGUAUCUGACUGUGCUUGUCGCAAACGCUGCGCAAUUACUCGUGGAAUCGUAAGUUGAUGUGUCGUUUUUCAGAGUUAACCUUAUCUGACUAUUUAUUGGCUGUUAGUUUUGUUCGAUUAUUUAUUAAGCAUUUAUCACGGUUAUUGAUUGUUUAGUAAUUAUAAUCAAGGAUGGCAUUUCGUUCGGUACAGUCCACGGCUUCGUGGAAUGUAGUAGUACUUCGAUCGUCACUUAGGUGGCGCGUCUCGUCUUUGAUCAAAGAUGGCGGCCUUCGUGUUCUCGCAGAAGCUACAGGUUUUCGUCUCUGAGAGUGUAAUCAAGUUUUUUUUUUUUUUUUCAACGUAUUGCACACAGUCACUAGCAAACAUAUCAGAUUAUUCGAAGCGUAUCAUCUUCCACGCUAGACCUCUCUACAACGAAACAACGGUGAAUCGAUUAUGAAUAAUGGAGGUAACGAAGGCGGACAAAGUAAUUGUCCCGCUCUGGGUAAUAUAAGAUGAUGAGGUUAGAUGAUUCAGACUGUAUGUUAUGACACUUACGCGGUCCUCGCUCAACAUAUCAUAGGGACUGAUGACG